CCGGGAGCCUGCGGCUGCGGCGCCAAGGGCCGGCUUCGUCAAGGCAUCGUCACUGCUGGCCCUUUUCAGCUACAAACACACACGUCAGAUGAUCCUCAGGACUUCUCGGGGCAAUAUCCUGUGACUAACUCCUGCCCGAGUGGGCCGUCCAACAAUGCCUCAGCAGUGACGUCUCACCUCGUCUCAGUGAAGGAAGAAAGAACCAGAGGGAGGAAGGGAUCGCCAUCAUGUGACACAAACAACUGGGCAGGGUGAGAGAGCUGCGGCUCCCCUGAGGUUUGAACUUCCUGCUCUCCCAGUGUCAAAGUUCUUGACUGAUAAACAGCCAGUCGGAGCCACGUUGCAGAAACUUCAGCUGCUUUCCAGUCUGCCAAGCUGGCUGAGUGUACAGAGUGGGCGGACUCCAUAGAAACACAAGCACAGCAUCCACAAGGUCUGCGAGGGAAUUAAAAAAAAA